rnacentral:pre_miRNA from 1 species
AAGAUACUCCCUCCGUUUCAAAAUGUAGGUCGUUUUGGUUUUUCUAGGUACAUAGAUUUUGCUAUGUAUCUAGACAUAACCCUAUAUUUAGGUGGAUAGCAAAAUCUAUGUAUCUAGAAAAGCUAAAACGACCUACAUUUUGGAACGGAGGGAGUAUGGU